rnacentral:tRNA from 1 species
UGGCAUAGUGGUUAAAGAGUUUGGCUGCUAACCAAAAGGCUGGUAGUUUGAAUCCACC